rnacentral:rRNA from 1 species
AGAGUUUGAUCAUGGCUCAGAUUGAACGGCUGGCGGCAUGCUUUACACAUGCAAGUCGAACGGCAGCACAGGGAGCUUGCUCCCGGGUGGCGAGUGGCGCACGGGUGAGUAAUACAUCGGAACGUGUCCUGUUNUGGGGGAGUAACUGCUCGAAAGGGUGGCUAAUACCGCAUGAGACCUGAGGGUGAAAGCGGGGGAUCGCAAGACCUCGCGCAAUUGGAGCGGCCGAUGCCCGAUUAGCUAGUUGGUGAGGUAAAGGCUCACCAAGGCGACGAUCGGUAGCUGGUCUGAGAGGACGACCAGCCACACUGGGACUGAGACACGGGCCAGACUCAUACGAGAGGCAGCA